rnacentral:rRNA from 1 species
AACGAACGCUGGCGGCAGGCUUAACACAUGCAAGUCGAGCGCCCCGCAAGGGGAGCGGCCGACGGGUGAGUAACGCGUGGGAACGUACCUUUUGGUUCGGAACAACUCCGGGAAACUGGAGCUAAUACCGGAUAAGCCCUAACGGGGAAAGAUUUAUCGCCGAAAGAUCGGCCCGCGUCUGAUUAGCUAGUUGGUGAGGUAACGGCUCACCAAGGCGACGAUCAGUAGCUGGUCUGAGAGGAUGAUCAGCCACACUGGGACUGAGACACGGCCCAGACUCCUACGGGAGGCAGCAGUGGGGAAUAUUGGAAAAUGGGGGCAAGCCUGAACCAGCCAUGCCGCGUGAGUGAUGAAGGCCUUAGGGUUGUAAAGCUCUUUUGUCCGGGAAGAUAAUGACUGUACCGGAAGAAUAAGCCCCGGCUAACUUCGUG